GGCCUCUAAAGAAACCAACUUUUCAGAUCCUUUAUGACUCACAAGAUUGAAUUUUCUACUCAUAUGUCAAGACACUGAACACAUUUGUCUUAAAACCUCAGGAAGAGAAAACAAGUUUAUUAUUGAUUUGUUCAAGGAGGUGGUAGUGCAGAUUCAAGCCCGUUACGUGUGUAGUGGGGGUGCCAGUGUGGUCUGCAGCUGAGUGCCCUGCUGGAGCUAAAACAUGACCAGGCAUGUCUGGAGGACAAGUGAGACUGGUUCACCAGAAAUCUAUUUAUAUUAGGAAUGAAGCACCUUCUAGGACAUAAAUCAUCCUAGAGGGAAAAGGAAUCAGAUAUGUGGGGUUGGUUCAAUGGCAAAGACUAAGUCACCUGACAGAGCUGCGGUUCUCUUCUUCUUCUGCCCUUGGACACCAGAACUCCAGGAUCUCUAGCCUUCAGCCUGGAACUAAGAGUUACACCAGCAGCCCCCUAGGCUCUCAGACCUUCAGACUCAGAGUCUGGAGAAAAUACUUCUUUCUGAAUGUGGCAAUUAAAUGUGUGAUUCCAAGAAUGGGAGAUCAAAAGAAUCCAUACUAGUUUUAGCUGGAAAUCUGAUGCCUCGGGUAGGGAGUUUAGUUUCAUGGUUGCCGCUGACGGAGAAAUCUGUUAAUACCUCAGUGUGAUACUUCUGGAGAUGCGCUGGCUAAUGAAGUAAUAACAGGAACACUUAAGCAGAACGUGCAUUCAUAGCAUAAAGAAACAUUCAAAUCUAAAAGAAUUCUUCCAAAGAAAAAAUAUUUAAAUAAAAAACCAGCAGAAGUAGAUGUUCACCAUUUCACUUGUAAACAUUAGUGCUUUAUUGGUUACCUCUAAUGUAACAACACAUACAAAUGCUGAAUCUUAAACAAAAGAAUGUAUAAAAGAUUUUUGCUUGGAAACUUUGGGAGAUUUUGCAGCAGAGAAGGUAGCUUAAGUACCUUACAAUGAUAUCACAGCUUGAUGUAUUCUGGAACUGGUGAAAGAUACAGAAAACCAAGUCAGAAUAAAGAAAGCUAGCAAAGUAUUUUUCAUCACAAUGUGAUACAUGCAUAGAUACUGCUAACAUGACAAUUCUUUCAUAGGUGUGUGAUUUAAAUAUGAUGGUGAUUAUUCUGUCAACAAAUGUGGUCCAGAGUUUGAGUUUAGUAUGGGAAUAAAUUCUGACGGUAUAGUUGUAAUGGCAGGAAAAUAAUCCGGAGUAGUUACCCAAAUCAAGGAGCUUGUCCCAACAUGUAGAUUAACUCACUGUUUCCAACACUGAUAAAGUCUUGCCUUUUGGAAAAAAAGGGGAUAAAAAGUAAGCUAAACUGAAUAGCAAGAUAAAUAGUAAAAAUUAUGAAUUAUAUAAAGGCAAAUGCUAUAAAUUUAGGGAUAUUUCCUUUUUAGAUGAUAAUAAAGAAACUGGUUGUAAAUAAAAACUAGGCAUGCUGACAUAGAUGUUAUCAAGAGGAAAAACUCUAUCAAGAACAAACUCUUCAUAUUUCUGCAAUAUGCUUUUUUUUUUUUCUUUUCUUUUCUGAGACAGGG